GGUCUCGUGGGCAAGUCUGGAAUCCCACAGGUUUGUCACGCCAGAGAUCGUCGGUUCAAAUCCGGUCGAGACCGCCA
rnacentral:tRNA from 3 species